UUAUGAGGAUGUGUUGAAUAAGGUGUUUUGAGAAUAUGAUAAUGAGGUUUGGCUUUGUGACACUACCUUGAUACCAGUGCUCUUUGCUCGUCAGCCCAGCUAACGGCAUCAAACCAAGUGUGAUUAUUUUGAAUAACACAGGGUUUAACAAACUUAAGGUAAAUUUCAGAAUUUGUAGGGAGAGGAACCCGAGGACUUAAGUUGUAGAUUAGUGAACAGUCUACAAUGGCGUUUGUGGAAAUUUUAAUCUUCGCUAUGGUUUUAGCUGGAAGUACUACAACGAUUGUGACUCUUUUUACACAUUGUAAUGGCGGCCACGAUGGAGAGAAGCACAGAAAAUUAACACCGGAAGGAGAGACGACUUCAAAAAACAGAUAUGUAUGAAGUGGCAAGGCUUGUCAAGAUUUGUACCGGACUGAACUGAUCUUUAUAAUCGCAUACUCACAAGGGAAGCUUGUUACAAAUGGCGAAAACUCAUUGGGUUUUGUGGAUUGCAGUAAAACCAUUUUAUGAAUUUCAUUUCCUCAGGCCAGAAUAAAUUUACAUACCGGCCUUGAGCUGUGGUUGCCAGUGAAACCAAGAUUAUUGUCCAAAUAUUAGUUGAUAAUUUCUUAAUUAAUAUACAUCAUUCUAUCAUUUACCUUGUAUUUAAGGCCGUAUAAGAAUACAGAAACGUUUUUUGCUCGUGGAGAAUUGAGAGUGGUUAAUGUAUUUGCCCAAACGCCUUUUAAGGUACGUUUUGGUUAAGUUUCCAGGGAAACCAGUCUUGCCUUAAAGCAUUUAGGCAAAAUUUAUUCAGGAGAAGCCAGAAUGAUGGGCGCACAUUCAACUCGCGUCACAAAAGCAGAGAUAUAGUUUUACGGUUAUCUUUAAUGAAAGACGUUAUCUCGGAGUUCUCUCACAAGAAAGUUUGUACCAAAAAGAAGAAUAGAAUCCACUGCUACAGUCAUGCUGGUGUUUGAAUCAAUUCUGAUUGGUGUCUGUACAAUGAUUGGUGCGCUGGCUGCAGUACUGGCCGUCUCCCAUUGGAAAUGUAGAAAAUCUAAUAACAAGGAGGGAACCCGAAAGAAAGAGUGAUACAAGAAAAUUUUUGGUACUCGUAUAGGAACAUUAUUUGAGAAGCUUUUGUAAUUAUAUCUAUCUUAAUUUUUGAUUCCACCAUGCAGACUACUGGACAAAUAACAAGCGAUUUCAUCCGCGUUUCAUUUAAGACCACCGGUUACUUGGAGGGUGAAACACCUUGGAGUUAAACAUUCCAGAAUUUGAUCAGCCUUAAAGUUUUCUUUAACCACAAGCGUCACAUGGAAACACAUGAGCUAAUUUGUUUGGGGCGAUAUGAAAGAACAAAUUUACCUUGCUGAUAUUGUACAUAGCUUGCUAUCCAUCAUAGACCAAUAACUGUAAAACUACGAAAUCAUUUAAUCAAGUAAAGUUUGCCUUAUGUCAGAUUAGAAA